rnacentral:rRNA from 1 species
AGAGUUUGAUCCUGGCUCAGAUUGAACGCUAGCGGGAUGCUUUACACAUGCAAGUCGAACGGCAGCACGAGAGAGCUUGCUCUCUUGGUGGCGAGUGGCGGACGGGUGAGUAAUAUAUCGGAACGUGCCCAGUAGCGGGGGAUAACUACUCGAAAGAGUGGCUAAUACCGCAUACGCCCUACGGGGGAAAGGGGGGGAUUCUUCGGAACCUCUCACUAUUGGAGCGGCCGAUAUCGGAUUAGCUAGUUGGUGGGGUAAAGGCUCACCAAGGCAACGAUCCGUAGCUGGUUUGAGAGGACGACCAGCCACACUGGGACUGAGACACGGCCCAGACUCCUACGGGAGGCAGCAGUGGGGAAUUUUGGACAAUGGGGGAAACCCUGAUCCAGCCAUCCCGCGUGUAUGAUGAAGGCCUUCGGGUUGUAAAGUACUUUUGGCAGAGAAGAAAAGGUACCUCCUAAUACGAGGUACUGCUGACGGUAUCUGCAGAAUAAGCACCGGCUAACUACGUGCCAGCAGCCGCGGUAAUACGUAGGGUGCAAGCGUUAAUCGGAAUUACUGGGCGUAAAGCGUGUGUAGGCGGUUCGGAAAGAAAGAUGUGAAAUCCCAGGGCUCAACCUUGGAACUGCAUUUUUAACUGCCGAGCUAGAGUAUGUCAGAGGGGGGUAGAAUUCCACGUGUAGCAGUGAAAUGCGUAGAUAUGUGGAGGAAUACCGAUGGCGAAGGCAGCCCCCUGGGAUAAUACUGACGCUCAGACACGAAAGCGUGGGGAGCAAACAGGAUUAGAUACCCUGGUAGUCCACGCCCUAAACGAUGUCAACUAGCUGUUGGGGCCGUUAGGCCUUAGUAGCGCAGCUAACGCGUGAAGUUGACCGCCUGGGGAGUACGGUCGCAAGAUUAAAACUCAAAGGAAUUGACGGGGACCCGCACAAGCGGUGGAUGAUGUGGAUUAAUUCGAUGCAACGCGAAAAACCUUACCUACCCUUGACAUGUCUGGAAUCCCGAAGAGAUUUGGGAGUGCUCGCAAGAGAACCGGAACACAGGUGCUGCAUGGCUGUCGUCAGCUCGUGUCGUGAGAUGUUGGGUUAAGUCCCGCAACGAGCGCAACCCUUGUCAUUAGUUGCUACGCAAGAGCACUCUAAUGAGACUGCCGGUGACAAACCGGAGGAAGGUGGGGAUGACGUCAAGUCCUCAUGGCCCUUAUGGGUAGGGCUUCACACGUCAUACAAUGGUCGGGACAGAGGGUCGCCAACCCGCGAGGGGGAGCCAAUCUCAGAAACCCGAUCGUAGUCCGGAUCGCAGUCUGCAACUCGACUGCGUGAAGUCGGAAUCGCUAGUAAUCGCGGAUCAGAAUGUCGCGGUGAAUACGUUCCCGGGUCUUGUACACACCGCCCGUCACACCAUGGGAGUGGGUUUCACCAGAAGUAGGUAGCCUAACCGCAAGGAGGGCGCUUACCACGGUGGGAUUCAUGACUGGGGUGAAGUCGUAACAAGGUAGCC